rnacentral:rRNA from 1 species
AGUGAACGCUGGCGGUAGGCCUAACACAUGCAAGUCGAACGGCAGCACAGUAAGAGCUUGCUCUUACGGGUGGCGAGUGGCGGACGGGUGAGGAAUACAUCGGAAUCUACUUUUUCGUGGGGGAUAACGUAGGGAAACUUACGCUAAUACCGCAUACGACCUACGGGUGAAAGCAGGGGAUCUUCGGACCUUGCGCGAUUGAAUGAGCCGAUGUCGGAUUAGCUAGUUGGCGGGGUAAAGGCCCACCAAGGGGACGAUCCGUGGCUGGUCUCAGAGGAUGAUCAGCCAAAUUGAAACUAAGACAGGUACCGGAUCCGUAGGGGAGGCAGCAGUGGCAAAUAUUGGGCAACGGGCGCAAGCGUGACCCAGCCAUCCCGCGUGGGUGAGGAAGGCCUUCGAGUUGUAAAGCCCUUUUGUUGGGAAAGAAAAGAAGCAGGUUAAUACCCCGCUGUUCGGAGGGUACCCAAAGAAUAGGCACCGGCUAACUUCGG